ACUCAGCACCGGCCCUCUGAGUCUGCAGUUCAAGAGCUGGUUCUUCUGUAGGAGGAUCUCAGAGAAGUGGGAAGGUUUUGUCGGAGAGUCUAAGAAGUUUCGUGUGUGCCUAUAUUUCAGAAGCCAGAUAUUCUGAUGGGUCCUGCACCACUGAAGAGUCAUGCCAUGCUGCUCAGCAGGAGAUAUUCCUGUGGCUUUUCAUUCACCUUGCUUGCUGCCCAUUUCCUCUUCUCAAAUGCCUGUGAAUAUGAGCCAAUGAGUGGUGAGAAUUGCCUUAAUCGUACUUCAAAAUCUGUGCAAGAAGGGGAGACAAUAACAGUGAAAUUUGCUAAUGAUUCAGAAUCUUCAGAACCGUAUUUCGACAUCUGCAUUUGGAACAGCG